GAGCCAUAGGUGCCACCCAAUUUCAUGUCUUUUCUGACAUUUUUAUCUGGAGAUAGUUUCAGCUAGAUCUGAUCAGGCUG
ensembl:snoRNA